rnacentral:tRNA from 1 species
AGCCCUAUAGUCUAGUGGUCAAGGACGCUAGCCUUUGGAGCUAGAGGCCCUGGUUCGAAUCCAGGUAGGGCUA